rnacentral:lncRNA from 1 species
GUUAAAAUUGCCUUGCUCAUCUUCUUGACACUAUGUCUAAAAGUUUAUCAUUAUAUCUUUGUUCUAUUGUGGUGAGACUUUUAAAGCCUCAAGAAUUCCCUCUAAAACCAACCAGCCACUCUUCAACUAUUAAGCUAUUGUCUGUUAACGAGUACUUUAAUUGGGUGUUAGCUGAUUAGUUCACUUUCCAGAGUCAUCAACAGACCAGAUCAAAGCAGAGUAGAAUGCGUCCAUGUAUCAGAGAUACUUAAAUAGGAGCAAGGAUAGCAGACCUGGGUGUGGCCUCGUCUUGAACUACUCAAGGUGCCUUUGGAAAUAAAGGCAUGAUGACAAGACUUAUUGACUGUCUGUUUUAUUCCAGGCACUAUUCUAAACAAUUUACAUCUGUUACUCAUUUAGCUCAACAUCCUAAGAGUAAGUGCAUAAUCCUGAUUUUACAGAUGAGAUAACGUGGGUUUAAAAAGUGUACGUAUCCUGCCCCACAGAAAUAGCACUAGUAUAAGCGUUGAUACCAGGAUUUAACGCAGGCAUAUUGGGGGCCUGGGCAAAGGUUAAUCAAGUGCCAGCACCAAGAACAGCCCACCAGGGCCUUUCCAGUUUAUGAAGAAGGAGGCGAGAGUGCCUUUUUUUUCUUCAACAAAUACCUAUUAAGGACUACUGUAUGCCAACGCUCUUUUAGUUCCUGAGGUACAGUUGUAAACAAAAUGGAAAUAUCUUUAUUCUUAUCAAGGUUAUAGAAUAGUGGGGGUGCAUUUAGUUUUGUUUGUUAUACUUUCCACUCUAUGAAUAUUUCCAAUAUUGGCAAAAAUAUACCAUACUGUGUACACUUUAGUGUGCAUAUUUUAAAAAUAUAUAUAUGUAAGUAUAUACAGUCUGCAAAUAUAAUAUAUAUUAUAGGUAUAGAAUAUCUAUAAUUAUAGAUCUAUUAUACCUAUAAUAUAUAUAUACACACACACAUACACACACACUGUUCUCAAAUGGCAAACAAUCAAAAUGUACUUGUGUUUACAUUUUUUUGUGUGUGUCUUUCUGCCUUUUCUAGGGCCGCUUGCCACGGCAUAUGGAGGUUCCCAGGCUAGGGGUCCAAUCGGAGCUACAGCUGCCGGCCUACGCCAGAGCCACAGCAAUGCGGGAUCUGAGUCUGCAACCUACACCACAGCUCAUGGCAAUGCCGGGUCCUUAGCCCACUGAGCAAGGCCAGGGAUCAAACCCUCAACCUCAUGGUUCCUAGUCGGAUUCGUUAACCACUGAGCCACGACGGAAACUCCUAAAUUUUUAAAAUAUUCCCCAGUGAAAGAGCCAUAAAGAGAAUACACACUGGGGCCAACUGAACUAAAAAUAUCAGCUAAACUGUUCACACCUACAGAGCUUAGCAUGAACAGUGAAUUCGCAAACGUUGAAUAACACAGUGCCUGAUACAAGCUGAAACCUGUUUAAGUAUGUGCAUUUGUAGGCAUCUUAGCUUACAAAUCACUAAUGGAUCUGAAGGUAUUUUGAGAGUUACUGCAUAAAUCUUCCAUCUCACAGUUGCAAAUGGCGGAAUAUAUGUCCACCUCUGUGAUGGCUGUGGUAGUUGAAUGCAUCAAACUGUAAUUAGUUUCCAUCUCAGAUGUAUUUUUUAUCAACAGGAGCUGUGAAAAUGAGAGUCCCAUCUGCAAUUUUCACUUUCUAAUCUUUACUACAUUUAGGGUAUUUGAAAGAACUUAGUACAUAGAAUUCAUGUUAAGCUAAUACUACAUGAAUGAGAAAUAAGUGGUUUUAUUUAAGUCAGCUUUUCUGCUGAUCUGAAUAACUCCCUUAUGUUCAUUCCAUUCCUUACACUCACUGGAAUAGAAGAAAGGAAAAUUGUAUAAGUCCAAAGAAAGUAAACUAAAACCUUAAAAAUGUGUUUUUUUAAUUUUAGAGAACUAAAAGUGUUUCCAUAUUUUAAGUGUAUGCUUCUCUAAUUUACAUUGCAAAUUUAACAACUUAAAAAAAAUCUUAGAGCCUCCGAGAGGUCAGAUAAUUCAGCAAGUGUUUCUAAUAAGGCAUUCUACAUACAUAUCAAUAAAAUGAAGGAUUAUAAUGAAUACACAGAAAACGAAAGACCAUGCUUAUUCUCAACAAGAACUUUUAGCCUGUUCACUCACUGGGCUCAGUGUUAUACUUUAAUCAGCAGUCAUGCUCAUUGCAUUGUUUGAACUCAUACUCAUUUAGUUCACUAUGUUUUGUCAUUUACAAGAAAUCCAUGAGUUAAAGUCCCCAUGUGGUACAUAUACAAAUGGAAUACUACUCAGCCAUAAAAAGAAUGAAGUAAUGUUAUUUGCAGCAACAUGGAUGGAACUAGAGAUUGUUAAACUAAGUGAAGUCAGACAGAGAAACAAAUACCAUGUUAUAGCACUUAUGUGUGGGAUCUAAAAUAUGACAGAUGAACUUAUCUGUAAAACAGAAACAGACUCGCAUAGGUGUUGCCAAGGUCAAGGUGGGGGGAGGGAUGUAGUGGAAGUUUGGGAUUAGCAGAUGCAAGCUGUUACAUACAGAAAGGAUAAACAACAAUGUGCUAAGUUCCCAAAGCUUAGGGAACUAUAGUCAAUGUCCUGUGAUAAACCAUAGUGGUAAAGAAUAUGAGAAAGAAUAUAUAGGUAUAACUGAACCGCUUUGGUGUGCAGCAAAAAUUAACACAACAUUGUACAUCAACUGUACUUCAAUAAAAUAUAUAUUUUUUAGAAAAAGAAUAUAUAGGUAUAACUGAACUGCUUUGGUGUGCAGCAAAAAUUAACACAACAUUGUACAUCGACUGUACUUCAAUAAAAUAUAUUUUUUUAGAUCCAUGAUUGAACUGUACUAUUCUAUGUCAACUGACAGAUCUUACCCGCAUUAGGGAAGACCCCAUAGCCGUCAUUUUUACGUGUAUCAAUAACAAUUUUAAUUUUAAAAAGAAAAUGAAAACACUGUCUUUAACCAUGGAACAACAAAGAGGAACAUAAUGCAUAAAUACAUAAAUACAAUAAAACAUUUAACAAAUUGAAAAAGUAGGCAGAGUUGUUUGGUCUUAAAAUUGUAAGGAACAGAGGCUCAUGUAGGUCCUGGGGCUAAGACAAGAUAUGAUGAAAAGGGUGUUUUAGAAGAGAUUUGUCUGACUAAUCAGAGAAGGCAGGAGAGCAAAAGAGACUCAGGAGUCUUUAGGUGGCAAUUAAUGUGAUAAAAGAGGUGAAAAGAGCCUAUUGGGAGAUAUUUAGUUGUAAGAGACACAUAUCAAUUCUUUACAUACACAAUAUUCUUAAAGGACAACAUUUGUACAUUUGUGGUUGUUUAUCUUAGAGAGACACUUGUCAAAUUCACUUACUACUGCCUCCAUUCGACUUGAGGCUUAAAAAAAAAAAAAAAAGAUCAUUAAGAUGUUCCACAUGUGCCUUUCAAAAGCUCUUGUAGUGAAGCCAAUAAACCAAUUAGAUCAGCCUAAACAAAUUCUUAACCUUUUGAGAAUUUCCUGUACCUUAUGCAUGUGUAAACAUUUAUGGCAUCAUAAAAAUUGCAAGAGCAGAGAAAUGCAAUGCAGGCAUCUGUUUGUCAAAUGAUGUUCUCCUAAUUUUCCAUGUCCACCAGUUUCAUUAACAUUUUCAUGGAGAAGUAUCAGUAGAUGAAAACAAACAAAAAAGUCCACAUAGUUGUAUAUCUAGACGUGAACAGUCAAUUGUUGUAAACACUAUAAUUCCAUUAUUUAUUCAUC